GGAAGGAAAGACAUAGAAUUUGGAUUUUUCUUCUUCGUAGAGUUUUGGGAAGACUGAGGCAAUCGCUGCUGAAGUCAGUGUUGUAAUGGUGAAUCGGGAUUUUUAAAUGAAGUGGGUUUGAAUACUCUUGACUGUUUUGUAAAAUCGAGUUACGUCUGUGAUUGAAGGAUUAAAAGGGUGUCUAUAGGAUUGAGUAUGCAGAGUGAAUGAAAUUUAUUGGGUUAAUCUAACAGGACAGUCAGUGGAUACAAGAUCGUAAGUACAAAG
rnacentral:lncRNA from 1 species